GAUGAACGCUGGCGGCGCGCCUAAUACAUGCAAGUCGAGCGAACGGAUGAGAAGCUUGCUCCUCUGAUGUUAGCGGCGGACGGGUGAGUAACACGUGGAUAACCUACCUAUAAGACUGGGAUAACUUCGGGAAACCGGAGCUAAUACCGGAUAAUAUUUUGAACCGCAUGGUUCAAAAGUGAAAGACGGUCUUGCUGUCACUUAUAGAUGGAUCCGCGCUGCAUUAGCUAGUUGGUAAGGUAACGGCUUACCAAGGCAACGAUGCAUAGCCGACCUGAGAGGGUGAUCGGCCACACUGGAACUGAGACACGGUCCAGACUCCUACGGGAGGCAGCAGUAGGGAAUCUUCCGCAAUGGGCGAAAGCCUGACGGAGCAACGCCGCGUGAGUGAUGAAGGUCUUCGGAUCGUAAAACUCUGUUAUUAGGGAAGAACAUAUGUGUAAGUAACUGUGCACAUCUUGACGGUACCUAAUCAGAAAGCCACGGCUAACUACGUG
rnacentral:rRNA from 1 species